GUGAAGUCCACAGCACCAUGUUCUUGAGUUUGGGUGCCUUUCUCACCAGUGCCCUGAAUUGAGAUGGAAUCUGGAAAGGUGUACCUGCAUCCUGUGUGUCUCCCACUCCUAAAUAAUUUUUGAAGAUGAAGUAACCAAGGAAUCAGUGAAGCCACAGGCAACUGUUCGCCAUGUGUAGAGGUGGGCAGAGGAGACCAAGCUGGCAGCAGAGGCCCACGAGCUGGAACGGCUAUAUGUCAUAAUGCCAGAGUCCAGAACCUGUCCGGGGAGCUCAUCCUCCUGACUUAGAAGGAUGAGAAGACCAGACCACUCUGCGCGGAGAAGACACAAGCACGGGGGCAAAGGCACUUGAGAGUUUCAGCAAACUGAGCAAUUCGUUCACGACUGUGGUCUCAGUUAUCUGGAAGGCUGAGACGGGAAGACUGUACACUUAACACCAGCCUUAACUACACGCUAAAGAGGUGACUGCAAUUAAGAGCAGCUAAAGAGGUGACUGCAAUUAAGAGCACCGGCUUCACUUGCAGAAGACUAGGGUUUGAUUCCUAGCACCUACACGGUGGCUUACAGAUGUCUGUGACAACGGUUCUGAAAACCUGACACCUUCUUCAGGCCAUUGCCAGCACACAUGGUACACAGACAUGCAAGCAGGCAAAACACCCACAUAUAUAAAAUUUUAAAAACUGCAGUCACAUUUGGGGUAACCAUUCAGUCCAUGACAUCUUCCAGCCUGGAUCCUCUAAGGCCAGACUUGCCUUUGCCAUCUGUGUUUAAAGAGCCAGCUCCUACACAGCUUCCAGCCCUUUUUUGGAGUGGGGGAGGUAAAGAGAGAUGUGUAGAUAUUGGUACAAAGUGUGCACACAUGCAUGAAUGUUUGUGGUGACCAGAGAUGGCCUGCUGCCUCCCUCAAUCACUAGCCACUUUUUUUUUUUACCUCCUUUAUUACUGUUUGAGAAUUUCAUGUACAUACACAAUGUGUAUUUUGUAUGUACAUUCCUUCCAUUCCCCCCAUCCCUCCCUACAAUUAAUUCCUCCUAUUCCCACUUUUCCUUCCCAUUUUCAUGUGUACUUUUUUUUUAUCUCUGCUGAGACAGGGUCUCUGUACCCCUGAUUGUCCUGGAACUUCUGUGUAGACCAGACUGGCCUCAGAAUCACAGAGAUCCGCCUGCCUCUGCCUCUUGAGUGCUGGGAUUAAAGGCAUGCACCACAUCGAUAAGUGCAUGUAUUUCUAUUAACUCUCAACCUGUGAGUCGUGACCCCAUUGGGGUUGAACGGCCCUUUCAC
rnacentral:lncRNA from 1 species